rnacentral:rRNA from 1 species
CCUACGGGUGGCAGCAGUGGGGAAUAUUGGGCAAUGGAGGAAACUCUGACCCAGCAACGCCGCGUGAAUGAUGAAGGUCUUCGGAUUGUAAAGUUCUAUUCUCAGGGAAGAAGAAAGUGACGGUACCUUAGGAAUAAGCGUCGGCUAACUUCGUGCCAGCAGCCGCGGUAAUACGUAGGAGGCAAGCGUGAUCCGGAAUGACUGGGCGUAAAGGGUGCGAAGGCGGGUGGACAAGUUGGUAGAGUAACUCCGGGGCUCAACCUCUGCACUGCUAGCGAAACUGUGGGGCUUGAGUGCAGGAGAGGCAAGCGGAAUUCCUGGUGUAGCGGUGAAAUGCGUAGAUAUUAGGAGGAACACCAGUGGCGAAGGCGGUUUGCUGGACUGUAACUGACGCUGAGGCACGAAAGCGUGGGGAGCAAACAGGAUUAGAUACCCGUGUAGUC